rnacentral:rRNA from 1 species
AGUGAACGCUGGCGGUAGGCCUAACACAUGCAAGUCGAACGGCAGCACAGUAAGAGCUUGCUCUUACGGGUGGCGAGUGGCGGACGGGUGAGGAAUACAUCGGAAUCUACUUUUUCGUGGGGGAUAACGUAGGGAAACUUACGCUAAUACCGCAUACGACCUACGGGUGAAAGCAGGGGAUCUUCGGACCUUGCGCGAUUGAAUUAGCCGAUGUCGGAUUAGCUAGUUGGCGGGGUAAAGGCCCACCAAGGCGACGAUCCGUAGCUGGUCUGAGAGGAUGAUCAGCCACACUGGAACUGAGACACGGUCCAGACUCCUACGGGAGGCAGCAGUGGGAAAUACUGGACAAUGGGCGCAAGCCUGAUCCAGCCAUACCGCGUGGGUGAAGAAGGCCUUCGGGUUGUAAAGCCCUUUUGUUGGGAAAAAAAAGCAGCAGGUUAAUACCCCGCUGUUCUGACGGUACCCAAAGAAUAGGCACCGGCUAACUUCG